AUGACUUUCAUCAUCAUCUUCAUCUGGACACUCACAGUCUUUACUCAAGUGUGUAGAGGACAGUACACUCUUACUCAGAGUCCAUCAAUAACAGCAGUUCAACCAGGAGAACAGGUUAAAAUAAACUGUAAAGUCAGCAGUGCAGUGUGUGGUGGUGGUAGUUACUUACACUGGUACUUGCAGAAACCUGGAGAAGCUCCUAAACUCCUCAUAACAUAUGCAACAAACCGUCAGUCAGGAACUCCAUCAAGAUUCAGUGGCAGCGGAUCAAACACAGAUUUCACUUUGACCAUCAGUGGAGUUCAGACUGAAGAUUCAGGAGAUUAUUACUGUCAGAGUGUGCACUGUCCUAGUAGCUGGGUGUUGACACAGUGA